UUUUCUUCGACGAAGAUAAGGCUUAAGUUUCUUCAUUUAUUCUGUGUUUUCUUUAUUAUUUUAAUAAUAUUUAGUUAUUAAACUUAUUUUAUAAUUGUAUUUAAGUAUUAAUUAAUCGAUUAAUGUAAAAAUUAAAGGUGUUUUUACCUCUCUCUCAAAUCAGCAAUGGCGAAAAUAUCGCCAACCCAUGUGCAAAAGCACCAGCUAUUAUAAGUAUUUAGUACAGAAAGCAGUCCUUCACUGCCUUUUUGGUCUACUUGAUCAAAAAUAACUUUACUGCUCAAUCUUUUUUGUUUAUGGUUUUGGACGAUGCCGAUUGCUUUGGGGAGAAAUAAUACUAAUCCAAUCCAACGCUCCAAGUUCAUGCAGUGUGUGUCAAUCUACGAGUCACCGGAGGCCAAAGCUAUUGCAGGUGAUAGGCGGUUGCCGGUGGAGAGGAAGAGAAAGGAAGACGUGGAGUCUAGCAGUUCGUCUUCAUCAGUCGGGAGGAACAGUGAUGUCAGUGGGGGUUCAUCGGACGGUGAAGAUUCAAAUGAAGUUCAGAGCUUGUUUAAAGGACCCUUGGAUACUCUGGAAUCUUUGGAGGAAGUUCUGCCUAUCAAGAAAGGCAUAUCCAAGUUUUAUACAGGCAAAUCAAAGUCUUUCACAAGCCUAUCAGAUGCCUCCUCUGCUUCGUCUAUUAAAGACCUUGCAAAGCCAGAGAAUCCUUACACCAGGAAACGCAAGAAUUUAUUAGCUCAUAAUAAUUUCUUAAAUAAGAAUCGCAAUCUCCAUUUCAGAAGUAAUGGAAGUGGGAUGUCAAAGAAAUCAGCUAACUUUGGUCGAAGCACGUUGGUUCUUGAGGUGUCAAUUAACAGCUCUGAAAGCAUUACCGAUGAAAACUCCAACUCAAUUUCAUCAUCACAUUCUCAUCAUCUGCCUCCUCUGCAUCCUCAAGUUAAAAGAUUACCAGGCAAUGGAUCAUCAUCCUCACCUCCUCGGCGAAACUCUCCCUGGCGUUCUUUCUCUCUGUCUGAUCUUCAAAGUGUUGCUGAUUCAAGUCCUAACGUAACUGGUUUGGAAGUUUAUGGUGGAGACAUGGACGGCUAAUAAUACUGACAUUUAGUUUCAGUUUGGUGUUCAUGCUUUUCAACCUCAUAGUUGGAAGAAAGUUUGUGGUGUUGAAGGCAGUUUCCUGCUUUGAUAUCAUGAUGUUGCCCAUUGUACUUGUAGCUUUUAGAUGCUGAAGCAGUAUGGUUUGUAGCUGCAGAACUCUCCAGUUUAAGCCACUUUCAUAGCAUUCACCAAUUGUAUGAUUGACUGCUCUCAACAUGGAGGAUUUGUGGCUUUGGCCACAGUUAAUGAACUUCCUGAGAAUCUAGCAAUAUGGAAGAUGGGUUUGGGCGCUGGUCUGCAAAUUCUGAUUAGCAUUACCAUGGCAGCAGUUUGAUUUUGCUGAUGCUCGUUGGCCACAGAGAGGAUUUCGUAGCAAAAGCAGCCCUACCAGAGAACAAUCACCUGCAGGUCCCAAUCGUUCUGGUGGUCUUCAUACACAAACACUGUACAGCAUAUGAUGCCAUCUCUACUCCCUUUUGUAUCACAAGAAGAAUUCAAGAUAUUUCAUGAAAUUGACAGGGAAUUAUACACAAUCCUUGCCAUCAAUUUAUGGCGGGAUCCUGUGGAUUCUAUGCAGAUUAUGGCCUUAUGGCUCUGGUUGGAGAGAACAGGGUUUAACAAUGUUGUAAAGAAGAUAUUAUCCUUGCCUUACACAUUGAUAAAUGAACUAGCAGAUGAGGCAGUCAUCUGCCUGAACUGCAUUAACAAUGAUAAUUCUCCUUGCUCAUCUGAGAAUAAUGAUAUUCCUUUGAUGCAGUGCUUGAUGGAGAAAGAAAUUUCUCUCAGAUUUUUUUACGACAAUCGGCUAAAUGCAAUUCAAGGGGUUGCGAAAAUUGCAAGCGAUGUUUGCAUCAGAGCAGUAACCGACAUCAUGCAACAAGCUGUUGAAAGAAAUGCCAGUCAAAGCUUAGCAGAUAGCCAGAAGAUGAUGGCGCAAUCUUUCCAGAAAUCUUUGGUUCAACCUGGCUUUCAAGUGAGAUUUUGUCCGAAUGAAAUGGUUCAGUCGUGGACCCAACAAAAUGAGGUUCCAGCAGACGAUAGGACUAUGUUCGUUACAUUCUCUAAAGGGUAUCCAGUGCUUGAAAGGGAGUAAACAAGACGACCAGGUUAUUGUCUCUCGAGGAUCUUGACAGAAUCAUUGCUUUCGGCCUUUUGCCCGAACAAAGUCGUGACACAAGGUUGCUCGUGACAACCGCAAACUUGCGAAAAUACUAUUUCUUCAAUCCCGAAGCGAACUUAGAAACCUUACCGACGACCAUGCCUCUUAAAGUGCCCAGGUUACAACGACCAAGGGAGUUCACCUUCCGCCGAGUUCGCGUCACCGGACCAGCCAGGGUGGCUUCCAACGGUCCCCUCGUCGAAGCGACUCCGGCGGGUGCACCAGUUCAACCUAUAGGUGCCCUUCAACCUGCAAAUGGUCGCCCCAAGUAGAAGACAAUGGCCUAGAGGUCCAAGAAGAAGAAGCAACUUCGGGUUGAGGAGUCAGAAUUCGAGUCGGAGGGUUUGGGCAUUCAUCCCAAGAGGUCGCAACCGUACCAGGCAUUCCGCUCGGGAGGGUCUCCCGGGGGCGCGACUAGUAUUACCAUCACUUCGGAGGGUCUGUGAAUGAGGCAAAGGGAGGCUGUGGAUCCUUGAAGGAGACCGGGCAAGGAACCAAUGGGCGAGAUUUUACCUGCUGCAGGCACGGGCACGAGCGUGUUAAACUUUAUGGGGCAACUUCCUGAACAUUUACAGCGGGUGGUGUUUACCCUAUUGGAGUACCAGCUCGCAGAAGCGUUCGAGCAGUUCGUGGCCUCCAACCCCAUGGAUCUGAUGUCCACGUCCUUUCACCACCUGAUCCAGGCCCUAUUUGCCAUGCAUUUGUCCCUGCAGAAGGUUCAGCUGGGGGCUGGUCGAGUUGAGAGAAUCGAACGUACGGCUUAAACGGGACUUCGAAGCUACACAAGCAGAAAAGGACCUAUCCACCGUUCAGGCGAAUCAAUACCUGUCUGAGAGGAAUGCCACACUUCGCACGGCGGAUUUCCAGAAGGCCGAGCUAGAGAAGCAAGGAGAGAAAGUUAAAGAGCUCAAAAGGACAGUGGUCAGGCUUACCAAGGAGGCUGGCAAGAAAGAGCUGGAGCUACGAAUGACCUCCGAGAGCAGAGCAGGAAAAGGCGCAGUUGUGGGAGACCACCGAGAAGUAGAAGUGGGCGCUUGAGGCCGAACUCCAAUUCGCCUAGGGUCGUGUCGAGUCAUUGACCGAAGAGAUACAGCAACAAGAAUUGGAGAUUGAGAGUAGGGCUGCCGACUGGAUGAUCCAGUCCAUCUAUGCCCUUCGGCCAAAGAAUCCCACCAUCGAUUUGACCGACCUCCCAGAAGAUUACCAGGAUAUCCUCACCUCCAUGGCACAGGCCGAGGAUGAUGAAACAACUCGGGGACCUGAUCUGAAAGAGGAGCAUCUGGAGGAGUAUGUCCUAGAGGAGCCUACGGCAAGCCAGGUGGUUGGUGACUAGCCUAGGGAUGCUGAGGUCGCACCCCCCGGUCCUGGGGAUGACGGCCAGUGAUUGCCUCUGCUUUUGCACUGCUUUUCCUGUGCUCGCUUAAUAUGUACUUGUUUAUUU